rnacentral:rRNA from 1 species
UGAGAGGGUGGUCGGACACACUGACACUGAAUAACGGGUCAGACUCCUACGGGAGGCAGCAGUCGGGAAUUUUGGGCAAUGGGCGAAAGCCUGACCCAGCAACGCCGCGUGAAGGAUGAAGUCUUUCGGGAUGUAAACUUCGUAAGAAUAGGAAGAAUAAAUGACGGUACUAUUUGUAAGGUCCGGCUAACUACGUGCCAGCAGCCGCGGUAAUACGUAGGGACCAAGCGUUGUUCGGAUUUACUGGGCGUAAAGGGCGCGUAGGCGGCGUGUCAAGUCAAUUGUGAAAUCUCCGGGCUUAACUCGGAACGGUCAAUUGAUACUGAUGUGCUAGAGUACAGAAGGGGCAAUCGGAAUUCUUGGUGUAGCGGUGAAAUGCGUAGAUAUCAAGAGGAACACCUGAGGUGAAGACGGGUUGCUGGGCUGAUACUGACGCUGAGGCGCGAAAGCUAGGGUAGCAAACGGGAUUAGAUACCCCGGUAGUCCUAGCCCUAAACGAUGAAUACUUGGUGUCUGGAGUUUUAAUUCUCCGGGUGCCGUCGCUAACGUUUUUAGUAUUCCGCCUGGGGAGUACGCACGCAAGUGUGAAACUUAAAUGAAUUGACGGGGGCAAGGGCGAAUUCUGCAGAUAUCCAUCACACUGGCGGCCGCUCGA